GAUGAACGCUGGCGGCGUGCCUAAUACAUGCAAGUCGAGCGAACAGAUGAGGAGCUUGCUCCUCUGACGUUAGCGGCGGACGGGUGAGUAACACGUGGAUAACCUACCUAUAAGACUGGGAUAACUUCGGGAAACCGGAGCUAAUACCGGAUAAUAUAUUGAACCGCAUGGUUCAAUAGUGAAAGACGGUUUUGCUGUCGCUUAUAGAUGGAUCCGCGCCGCAUUAGCUAGUUGGUAAGGUAACGGCUUAUCAAGGCAACGAUGCGUAGCCGACCUGAGAGGGUGAUUGGCCACACUGGAACGGAGACACGGUCCAUACGCCUACGGGAGGCAGCAGUAGGGAAUCUUCCGCAAUAGGCGAAAGCCUGACGGAGCAACGCCGCGUGUGAGAUGAAGGUCUUCGGAGCGUAAAACUCGGUUAUUAGGGAAGAACAAAUGUGUAAGGAACUAUGCACGGCUUGACGGUACCUAAUCAGAAAGCCACGGCUAACUACGUG
rnacentral:rRNA from 1 species